GUCCCCAUCGUCUAGUGGCCCAGGACUCCAGGUUUUCAUCCUGGCAACAGGGGUUCGAUUCCCCUUGGGGACGCCA
rnacentral:tRNA from 2 species